UACUCUGUUGUUAAUGAUGCAUUAUUGUUGCAACUGAUUCUAAAUGAUUUGGUCCAACAUUUCGUCACUACCACUGAGACAACAGAUAA
ensembl:snoRNA